rnacentral:lncRNA from 1 species
GGAUGCUGAUGUAAGUCCAGUGAUUGGCAUUCGGGCUCCAUGUUUGCCUUUGCCUGUGUUUGUUUGUGUGCGUGUCAGCCGAGCUACGAAUGCUCUGAUUCUUCUCUCGUCCGAGAAGAUACGUAUGCAUAGGAUGCGAUAUCCUAGCGAGCAUGAGUCGUUUCCCCAGUCCGAACUACUUCGACUCUGAUGUCUAUACCUGAUAGACUAAGUAGGCCCAGGAUACGAUAUCCUGCCGAGUCAGUUUCAGUCAGUUUCUUUUGUCUCUUUCAGCCAGUGUGUGUGUGUGAGUAGUGUUAUAGCAACCAUUUUCCCUUCCUAUUGUGCGUGGAUCCCGUAGAGUACUACGGAUGCGUAGGGGUGCUAAUACCUUCCCUUCGCAUAACCGACUCCCGAACCCAUUCUCUUUGGUCGCGAGACCAUGUUCUUUCCUAGGUUUACUCUGAGCGUUUCCUUUCCCUCUUUGGGGAUAAAUAACGCACGGUGGCGGCUCUGUUGUUCUUGUUUUCCCGCCGGUUUAUCGCGCGAUGCGACACUUCCUCUUCUUCAUUUUCCUCUUCAUCUUCUUCUUUUUCACUUUCAUCACUGUCAUCAUCUGCUGCAACAGGCGCAAAAACAUUUCCUCUUCGAACAAACUUGUACAUUCUCCGCUCAUCACACCAAAAAUAUCCCAUCAUAGACAGAGUUUUUGGGCUGAACUCUUUGUCUGAUGAGAUGGAAGUAUGCGGGAAGGACGGAUGAUUGACGUUGGCUGCAGUAAGGACCUCUUGAAUGAAGGAUCCGUAGGCAAGCGCCGUUCCGCGUCCGGAAUCAUGUAGAUUGAACAUCCUACUGGCAAUGUAGUAGGGCCAGUUUAUUUUCUGCUUAUUCUUCAGAAUGUACAUGAGAUGAACCUCAGCUUGUUCAACUCUGGAGAGACCACCCUUCUUUGGUCGCAGGAUGCGUGAGACAAUCCACUGAAGAAUCCGUUCUCCUGUUUUCAGUUUGACGGCAGUGACAGUUCGUGGGAACGCGUCACUGUUCACAAUAUGAUCAGGGUAUGGUCGUUUCAGCAUAUCGUUCAAUGCACUCCUGAACUCGUAACCUUCUAUUUGGUGAGAGUCAGUUACUUCAGCUAGAGGAGUUUCAGCAUCAUCCAAUGAGAUAUCAAAAUAUUGAUUCCAAACAUUUGACUUAAGCGAUACAUUUGUCGUGCCGAUCCUGGAGUGAAACUUGUGCCCGCGAAAUUUAUCAUGAAGACCGGCGUAGAACACUCGGACUAAGUCUUCGCUGUAUUUAGCAUUGCAUUCCAAGAAUUUGACAAUGCCUUGAUGUUGUAGCAGAGCCAUGAUUUCUAUGAGGUGCAUGUGUUCGGCGGUAAGUUUGUAGAAAGCAAGUUGUCGUACAACUCCUCUUUUGCCGAUAUCUUUGUUGAAGGAUUUGACGCGAGCCGGUGGAACAAGCGAUACAGCGGAGAUGGGUAGAGAUGCGGCGGAUGAUUCCCGGGAUCUCUUGUCGGUAGGUCUGCGAGAUGUGGAAGCCAUUUGAAUAGAUUUGAAGCUUAGUGUGUGGGUAGAGAGUGAAGGUUGGUGAGGGUUUUUCAGAAUGAUUUUGCAAGAGAGAGGGUUUCCCUUUUUGUAGAUAAGAAGUUAGGGUUUUGGGAAGAGGAAAGAUCAAGGGACAAUAGACACUAGGUAGAUGCAACUUACUAGGUAGUGGGAAGUUUGAAAUGUAAUGUAAUGUAAAUGCACAUUUAAUGAGGCUUUUUGAAUGUAGAUGCAUGAGAAGAUUUAAGGUUUUCUGCAGAAAAACAGAGUUUUUGAGCGAUGCGUCGACCAUACCUCUGCAUGCGUCGACGCAUACUGUUUGAUUUUUGAAAAAUCACAAAAAAAAAUUAAGUAUGCGUCGACCAUUGCCCUGUUACGGUCGACUCAUACAGGCAAAAUUUUCAGUUUUUCACUUUUCUGCACAUACGUUGACAAGUUUGAUGCAUAGUUAGACUGCCAUACAACAAUAAACAACCAAAUAGAUACAUCAUGCAUAUAUAUACAAUAUUAUUAUGUAGUAUAGCUAUUUAACCAUGAAACUUUUCAGAGAGAGAGAGAGAAGGGAAUAGUAUCACCUUGAUGCCUGAGUAACUUGAUAAACAAUAAACUUGUGCUUGCAACAACAUCAACUUGUUAGAAGUACAAGAUUAUAGUCUUAAAUGGAAUAAGGUAAAAUCAGCAGUUUAUAAUGCCCGUUCCGAAAUAUCGAGGAUACCAAGUUCUCGGCGGAUAUGAAAGAAAGGUUCAGUAGCUAGCGGCUUUGUGAAGAUGUCCGCUAGUUGAUUUUCAGUAUUAACAUGCUCAAAUACAAUGUCACCUUUCUCUACAUGAUCCCGAAGAAAGUGGUGUCGAAUUUCGAUAAGUUUGGUGCGAGAAUGCAACACAGGAUUCUUGGUAAGAUUAAUGACACUUGUAUUGUCAUAGAAAAUGGGAAUACGUUCAAGUUUGAGGUUAAAAUCCAAUAGUUGUUGCUUAAUCCAUAGGAUUUGAGCACAACAACUACCGACGGCAACGUAUUCCGCUUCGNUUGAAUGUAGAUGCAUGAGAAGAUUUAAGGUUUUCUGCAGAAAAACAGAGUUUUUGAGCGAUGCGUCGACCAUACCUCUGCAUGCGUCGACGCAUACUGUUUGAUUUUUGAAAAAUCACAAAAAAAAAUUAAGUAUGCGUCGACCAUUGCCCUGUUACGGUCGACUCAUACAGGCAAAAUUUUCAGUUUUUCACUUUUCUGCACAUACGUUGACAAGUUUGAUGCAUAGUUAGACUGCCAUACAACAAUAAACAACCAAAUAGAUACAUCAUGCAUAUAUAUACAAUAUUAUUAUGUAGUAUAGCUAUUUAACCAUGAAACUUUUCAGAGAGAGAGAGAGAAGGGAAUAGUAUCACCUUGAUGCCUGAGUAACUUGAUAAACAAUAAACUUGUGCUUGCAACAACAUCAACUUGUUAGAAGUACAAGAUUAUAGUCUUAAAUGGAAUAAGGUAAAAUCAGCAGUUUAUAAUGCCCGUUCCGAAAUAUCGAGGAUACCAAGUUCUCGGCGGAUAUGAAAGAAAGGUUCAGUAGCUAGCGGCUUUGUGAAGAUGUCCGCUAGUUGAUUUUCAGUAUUAACAUGCUCAAAUACAAUGUCACCUUUCUCUACAUGAUCCCGAAGAAAGUGGUGUCGAAUUUCGAUAAGUUUGGUGCGAGAAUGCAACACAGGAUUCUUGGUAAGAUUAAUGACACUUGUAUUGUCAUAGAAAAUGGGAAUACGUUCAAGUUUGAGGUUAAAAUCCAAUAGUUGUUGCUUAAUCCAUAGGAUUUGAGCACAACAACUACCGACGGCAACGUAUUCCGCUUCGGCGGUUGACAAAGCAACUGAAACCUGUUUCUUGCUAUGCCAACUGACCAAAGAAUUUGAAAAUAAGUGACAAGUGCCACUGGUGCUUUUCCUAUCUGAUUUGCAACCACAACUGAAACCUGUUUCUUGCUAUGCCAACUGACCAAAGAAUUUGAAAAUAAGUGACAAGUGCCACUGGUGCUUUUCCUAUCUGAUUUGCAACCGGCAAAAUCGGAAUCGGAGAAACCUACCAAUGAACAAUCAUUACCUUUGGAAUACCACAGUCCAUACUUCGGAGUAUCGGAUAGGUAUCGAAGUAUUCGUUUGACAGCUUUUAGAUGGGAUUCCUUGGGACGUGAUUGAUAUCUUGCGCACAUGCAUACGCUAAACAUAAUAUCGGGACGAGAAGCAGUAAGAUAGAGAAGUGAUCCAAUCAUACCUCUAUACCGUUUUACAUCUACGUCCUUAUCAUCUUCAUCUUUGUUCAAGUUUGUACAAGUUGGCAUGGGGGUGUCAAUGGCCUUAGCUUUUGCCAUGUCAAAUCUCUUGAUACGGUCCAAACAAUACUUUGUUUGGCUCACGAAAGUCCUUUCUUUGAGUUGUUUAAUUUGCAAACGGAGAAAGUAUGUGAACUCCCCCAUCAUACUCAUCUCGAAUUCGCCCUGCAUAAGGUCUGAAAACUCUCUCACAAGAUUCAUGUUAGUAGACCCAAAUAUAAUAUCAUCUACAUAAAUUUGUACUAAUAUCAAGUGCUUUCCUUGACGUUUAAUGAAGAGGGUUGUGUCAACCUUUCCUCUUGAGUAACCUUGAUCGAGUAAAAAUUUGCUUAGUCGCUCAUACCAAGCUCUAGGAGCUUGUUUGAGGCCAUAUAAAGCCCUUUUUAGUUUAUAAACAUGAUCAGGAUACUCAUGAGAUUCAAAACCCGGAGGUUGUGCGACGUAAACCUCUUCAUUUAUGUGACCGUUAAGGAAUGCACUUUUAACAUCCAUUUGGAAUAGUUUAAAGUUUUUCGCACAAGCGAAGGCAAGGAGAAGGCGUAUAGCCUCGAGUCGGGCAACCGGCGCAUAAGUUUCCUCAUAGUCGAUGCCUUCCUCUUGGUUAUACCCUUGCGCGACUAAACGCGCCUUGUUACGGGUUAUUACCCCGUUUUCGUCCAGCUUGUUCCUAAACACCCAUCGGGUGCCGAUUACUCGAUGAUCUCGCGGAGGAGGGACAAGGUCCCAAACCUCAUUUCUGGUGAACUGAUUAAGUUCCUCCUGCAUUGAUAAAAACCAGUGUUCAUCGAGUAGGGCUUCUUUAGGGUUUUUAGGUUCCAUCUGCGAAACGAAAGCGAAGUGAUAACAGAAAUUACUUAGCUUAGAUCGAGUUGUUACACCCUUUGAGAUAUCUCCGAGAAUGUUGUCGAUUGGAUGGUCUUUGGAAGACUUCCAAGCUUGAGGGAGAUCAUCGUUUGAAGGCGGAUGAACUACCUCGGUUUCCUCAUGGUGUNUUCUAGUGAACUGAUUUAGUUCCUCCUGCAUUGACAAAAACCAGUGUUCAUCGAGUAGGACUUCUUUAGGGUUUUUAGGUUCCAUUUGUGAAACGAAAGCGAAGUGAUAACAGAAAUUACUUAGCUUAGAUCGAGUUGUAACACCCUUUGAGAUAUCUCCGAGAAUGUUGUCGAUUGGAUGGUUUUUGGAAGACUUCCAAGCUUGAGGGAGAUCAUCGUUUGAAGGCGGAUGAGCUACCUCAGUUUCCUCAUAGUGUACAUCUUUGUCCUCCUCAAUUUUGACUGUGUCGGGUUGAUCAAUCCCCGGCUCGCCACCUUUGAGUAUGUCUUCAGUAGAUGUACCUGCACCAUGAAAACCACUACCCUUUCCGACGUUUCUCAGAUUGGAUUCAUCAAAAGUGACAUGUACAGACUCUUCUACAGCAAGUAAUCGUUUGUUGUAUAUUCUAUAUGCUUUGCUCGAUUGAGAGUAUCCGAGGAAGAUACCUUCGUCGGCCUUGAAAUCGAAUUUGUCCAAGUUUUCCUUUCCAUUAUUCAAUACAAAACAUUUGCAACCAAAAACAUGUAAGUGAGAAACAUUUGGCUUUCUCCCUUUUAAAAGCUCAUACGGUGUUUUAUUUAGAAUGGGGCGUAUGAGCACCCUAUUCAGAACAUAACAAGCCGUACUAAUGGCGUCGGCCCAAAAAUAUUUCGGUAAGCCACUUUCGUUGAUCAUUGUUCUUCCCAAUUCUUCCAAAAUUCUAUUUUUACGCUCCACAACCCCAUUUUGUUGAGGAGUACGUGGAGCGGAGAAGUUAUGAUUGUAGCACCUCAAAUUUGCACCUUCAUUUUGUACAUACAUUUUCAUUUUAGGUCAUUAACAUUAGUAUUGUCCACUGCAUAGCAUUGCAUUGUCCAUUGCCCAAGUGCAAGUCAACAGUCAAGACUGGCUAGGAGAUCCAGUUAAGCAAGCAAGCAAGUGCAAUUCCUAUUGAGGCAAAGCCCUAGGGUUGGUUCAUUGAGUUCAUAUGACCUAGGGAUCAUUUUUAAGUGGUGUGGCCAAAGGUUGGAUGCUCAAAGCUCAACAGUCAAGCUGAAAUUCAUCUGAAACCCUAGAAAGUCAACCAAAGUCAACUGUCAAUUCAACCAUGGAUUUGAAGGUGGGAGAUGGUUAGAGAGGCUUCAUUCAUGUCCAUACAAGUCUAAUUUGACAUUUCAAAGAUCAACAUUGGAGAAUUUGAGGUCAGAUGAAAAGUUUCCAAAAAUAGUAAGUGACCUGUAAUUUCGAACUGCCAAAAAUUGAAAGGUCUUCUCCUCAAGAUUACAUGUCCAAGAAAGCUUCAAAUCAAAUUUUGUCCAACAUGAAAGUUGAAGAUCUUGCUCUCACCUUUUCAAAAAGUCCAAGAACAUGAAUUUAUCAUGUGUGGUUGAGAAAUUAUGGAUCAAUCAUUGUCAAGAAAUUUUGAAGUUCAAAAGGCGAUAACUUUCACACCAAAAGGCCAAAUGGAGUGGGAUUUUUUGUAACAUUUCUAUUUUGACAUGCUCUAUCCACAUCAUGCAUUAUAUUUCAUCAAAUCUCAUCACAAAAAUAUUGGAUUUUUCCUUAUUCAGAUCUAGAUCUACUUGCAAGUUUCACAAGUUUUUGCUCUCACUUUUUCUGCAAAAUUCUUCAAAUCCUUUGCUAUUUUCUUCAUUGAUUCAUCAUCCACAAGUGCUAUUGGAUCUUCUGCAAGUAAGGAAUCAUCAUUUCGAAGCCGAAUUAAGAACUGUUGAAGCUAGCAUCAUCCAUGGCAGCUGUUGAUUUGAGCAAGAUCAAGCAAGACUGAGCAUUGGAUCUUCAUACAUUCAUCCAUUUAAGAGUUGUAGAUCAUCUGUUUCAAUAUUACAAAGCCUGAAUUACACAAAUCCAGCUCUGCAUCUUCAUAGAGGUCAGAUCUCGAAUUCUAUAAUUCUUGAAAUGUUGAUGUGCUUUUGAUAUAUCUUUCCAUGUGGAGUAUGCUGAGCUUUGUUGCGAUGAUUUUCAUUGAGAAUUAAGAAAGUUAUGUUGAAUUCAAGAUUGACAUGUGAAUCUUAUUCUGUUCGAUCCAGGCAUGUUAGUUAGAAUUAGGUUGAAUUGAUGUUAGCAUGUUGUUGUGCAUUAGAUCGAUCCAGGCAUGUUAGUUAGAAUUAGGUUGAAUUGAUGUUAGCAUGUUGUUGUGCAUUAGAAGAUGAACACAAUGAUGUAUGGUUUGUGGAUUUCUGUGCAACUUUGUUCUUGAGCGUAUGAAGGUUGAUGAACACAUGAAGAACCCUAGCUUUUUUUCUCCAGAACUCGUUUAAUCUGUUUUGGUAUUUGUUUGCAUGAGUUUCGUGUUUUUGAGCCAUGCAGUGGUACAUUUGGCACCAGCGUGUCAUUUCCAUUGGGCACAAGCGCUUCACGCUGCCUUGUCAGCUUAAAUGAAACGCAGCGCUUCAAUGUAGCGCGCGCUAGUUUGAAUCAUUACCAGGUUCGAUUCCCUGCUGGAGCGUUUCACCUUUGGCUUUUGGCAUUUUAAUUCAUUUAUGUCAUCCAUGUUCUAUAUGCUUGCUUCCAUUGUUUUUUUAUUUUUUCUCUCCAUUCCAAAAUUCAUAACUUCAUGAUGGAUUGUCCAAUUGAGAUGAGAUUUUUUGCAUGAUGUUCCUCAUGAUCUCUAAUUUCUUUUGAUGAUUUUUACAAAAAUUGUGCACGCCUGGAUUUUUAUUUUUGCCUAGGGAAUGUUCAUACAUGUGUUUUCUUGCUAUGCCUUGCCAUUUUGAUUGUGAAAUGAUGAUGGCUGAUCCAAUGAUUGUGAAAAUUUACAUGCUUAAUCUAGACACUUUGAUUGAUCUUUUGGAUUUGAGUUUGUAUUUUUAGCAUGCUUGGUUGUUGAGAUAUGAGCUGAUCAAGGGAGGUGCGACAAUGUGUCUCACACUAUUUCUUAUCCAAUUUGCUGAUUUUAUGUACCAUGCCAAAUAAAUGUCAAUUCAUAUGACUUUUUGCAUGAUGAUACUUCUGGAUGUUAGGUUUGAGUGUGAAUUUUUGUAGAAUUUUUGAGUGCAUUUCCAAUUUGUUUGAGAAUUUCUUUUCUGUUUGACCAUUUGUGGACUUUUUGAGAGUCAUGAACUUCUAUGAUUUGUGAAAUUCUUGGUGUUUAUCCUAUGAACUAAAAUUUUGCACAUGUGUUCUAGACACUUUGAAGUUUGUCUUGGCUUUGGUUUGAUGUCCAUAUCAUGUUUGGAUUCUGUUUUAUGCUUGCUUGAAGUUGAUGUAUGGUUUUGUGCCCUCAUUGAGCUUGUUUUGCCUUGCCUUGCCUUAUGGAAUUUAUUUGACAUGCUUCCAUUUGUCCAAAUGAUUUGAAUUUUGGUAUGAUGAUCAUGUAAUGAAUUCUGUUUAGCCAUUAUUUUUCUUGAGAUUUAUUGAGCCAUGUUUGAGUUGAUGAGGAUUGAUUCAUUUUGUUUGCUUCAAUGAGCUUUGAACUUGCAUGCUUUGCCUUAGUUGCUUUAUGAAAUGAAAUUGGUGUAUGACAUGAACAUGAGACCACUUGGACUUUGUUCCUAAUUGAUUGAGCUUGCUUCUUGCCAAUUUUCAUGUUCUGUUUUGGAUUAUUGCUCCCUCUUUGACCCUAGGCCUUGUCCUAGUGGUUAGUGCUUAUGUUUGAGUUGUGUUUUCAGGACAUCUUCGUAUACCGGAACUCCUCAAUGAUUCAAUUGCUCAUUUGGAUUGAUAUUUGAUUGAUGUUGAUUAACAUUAAGUUGUUUUGUAGGUGGAUUAGCUCAUUUGAGUUGAGCUUGUGCUUUGCUUGAUGCAUUGCUUGUUGUCUGUUUGUACAGUUUACUGUGGACUUCUAAUCUGUCUGUUUGACUUUUGUCUGAGUUGUAUACUGAUUAUGUUGGAUUGUUUUCAGGUACAUUAGUUACUAUAGUUCAUUGUGAACUUGCUUUUGCUUUGCUUGAUAGCUUAAGCAUUGAGGUAUAACUUCACUGACUUCAUGUAGUCUGGAAGACCUGGCCUGUUACUUGGUCAGGCACCUGUCUGAAGCCCUCCUUAAGAGGCAAUGCUUGUGAAUGUUUAUGUUUGUGCCAAGCAGGAAAAGACCUUCGAUAAGGCAAUUGGCAGAUACAAGAGAUGUGCAACCCAUCUCGACGAUAAGUCAACUCAGUAGGGAAACGAGUGUGUGGAACACAACAUGCAUUGUGGAUAUUAACCCAAGAUCCUUGUACAGUUGUGUCAAUCAUAUGUGUAGAAGGGUUCCCACUUUCUGAAUCCACACAUUCUUUUGUCUAAAGCUCUCCCAGGCCAGGGAUAAGAGCUGUGAGGCACACCCCUCACUUCCUAUUUCAUCUGCUUCACCCUAACUCUCUAUGUUAGGGUUAAGAGCUAACAUCACCCAAUUCCAGUUGGCUUGUGUUUCACAGCCUAACCCUUGUGUGAGCCCACUUUGUUUGUAUAUAGUGUGUGCUAUUUGUGUGAUUGUUUUGCUUUGCAUGUGCUGUUUAGGAUAGCUUGCUCCCUGUGCAAGUUAGAUAGCAACCUUGACUUAGGGAUGAUAUGCAUGAUAACAUCUAGGCUCGAGUCGUAGUCUCCCUAGCUGUGUCUCCCUUUGUAUCUGGUUAGGCUAGUCCUUUGUCCCUGCGUAGGGGAACUACGUCGCCCUGAUCCUCAAGAUGAGGUACGUAGGCAGGAGAUGAGCUGAUCUCUCCGGGCGCCCUUUUUGUUUUGUCCCUUGUGUGAGUUGGAGUCUGACAUAAGUCCAGCGAUUGGCAGUCGGUUUCCUUUGUGUUUGUUUGUUGUGUGCUUGGAGUCCAAUGUAAGUCCAGCGAUUGGCGUUUGGUUUCCAGUGUGUGUGUGUUUGGUUCGGAUUCUGAUGUAAGUCCAGCGAUUGGCAUUCGGUUUCCAUGUUUUCCUGUGUUUGUGUGGAGUUUGACGUAAGUCCAGCGAUUGGUAGUCGAUUUCCUGCAUUGUUUUGUUUGGCGUGCGUUAGCCGAGCUACGAGUGCUCUGAUUCUUCUUAGUCCGAGAAGAUACGUAUGCAUAGGAUGCGACAUCCUAGCGAACACGUUUCCCCCUGUCCGAACUACGUCGACUCUGAUGUCUAUGCCUGAUAGACUACGUAGGCCCAGGAUGCGAUAUCCUGCCGAGUCAGUUUCUUUUGUUUUCUUGUGUCUCUUUCAGCCAGUGUGUGUGUUUGAGCAGUGUUUAGCAACCAUUUUCCUUCCUUUUGUGCGUGGGGGUGCGUAAGGGUGCUAAUACCUUCCCUUCGCAUAACCGACUCCCGAUCCCAUUCUCUUUGGUCGCGAGACCAUGUCUUUUCCAGGUUUACUUCGAGCGUUUCCUUUCCCUCUUUUGGGAUAAAUAACGAUUCGCAUAACCGACUCCCGAUCCCAUUCUCUUUGGUCGCGAGACCAUGUCUUUUCCAGGUUUACUUCGAGCGUUUCCUUUCCCUCUUUUGGGAUAAAUAACGCACGGUGGCGGC